UCCUCGAUGAUGCAUUUGUCAGAGUAGAAAGCCACAUGGAAUCCCUUGUCACAUAGCUGACUGAUAAUCAACAGGUUGUGCUUGAGUCCCUCAACAUAUAGAUUUCCUUCUAUGGCAUUAGAAGGUGGAUUUUCAACACGACCUACUCCAAGAAUUUUUCCUCUAUUAUUUUCCCUAUAUGUGACAUAGCCUUUGUAUCUUGGAGUUAGGACAAAGAAAUUGAUUUUGCCACUAGUCAUUUGCUUUGAGUUGUCGUUAUCCAAGUACCAUAAAUCACU
rnacentral:lncRNA from 1 species